rnacentral:rRNA from 1 species
AACGAACGCUGGCGGCAUGCCUAACACAUGCAAGUCGAACGAGACCUUCGGGUCCAGUGGCGCACGGGUGCGUAACGCGUGGGAACCUGCCCUUAGGUUCGGAAUAACUCCCCGAAAGGGGUGCUAAUACCGGAUAAUGUCUUCGGACCAAAGAUUUAUCGACUUUGGAUGGGCCCGCGUUGGAUUAGCUAGUUGGUAGGGUAAAAGCCUACCAAGGCGACGAUCCAUAGCUGGUCUGAGAGGAUGAUCAGCCACACUGGGACUGAGACACGGCCCAGAAUCCUACGGGAGGGAGCAGUGGGGAAUAUUGGACAGUGGGCGAAAGCCUGAUCCAGCAAUGCCGGGUGAGUGAUGAAGGCCUUAGGGUUGUAAAGCUCUUUUACCCGGGAUGAUAAUGACGGUACCGGGAGAAUAAGCUCCGGCUAACUCCGUG